GUACUUGAAUCAGCAGUAAUAUAUGUACUAAAAUCGAAAUGAUAUAGAGAACUUCAGCAUGGCCACUGAGCAAGGAUGACACGUAAAGAAAAUGUUAGGACAGGUUA